UUAACCAGCUUGUAUCUGUAAAGGCACCUAAAUCAAGACAUUAUGGUGGAUCAUGCUCACUUCAGAAUAGGCUAUCUGCAGCUGUGCUUCAGAAAAAUGAAGGAUAUGGCUA